rnacentral:rRNA from 1 species
AUGGAUGACUAUCUGAACGUAUGCAGGUUUCUUCCGAAACUUAACAAUGAGAUACUAGGUGAAAGAAAUGCUCCCUACAAGGAAAGGUUGGGCAGCCUAGAGAAUUUAGUACUGAUCAUGAUCCAUAAUAGACUAAAAGAGAUUGAUAAAGGAAGAAAAUACCCUACCGGAUCUGCACAAGGACAAGAACUAACAAGCAAUUUUCACUUGGGCGCAGGGGUGAUCGUCGUGGACUACCGCAACCCGGUGGGCAUCGUGCUCUUCAACAACUCGGAGACGGACUUCACCGUGAAGGCCAGCGACUGUGUCACACCGAUGAUUGUCCUGGUGAUUGUGACACCGGAGGUCGCUGAGGUGGAGGACCUUGACGCCACCGUCCGGAGGUCGUCGAGGUGGAGGACCUCGAUGCCACCGUCUGGAGGUUGCCGAGGUGAAGGACCUCGACGCCUUGGUAGAUACAUUUAG